ensembl:lncRNA
CCUUGACAAACACAGGCCUGAGACUUUUGUUUGUAAACACCGCAAUGAAUCCGUCAGACUGCACAGUACUAAGGGCCUGAUCCUAAGCCAGUUUGGGAGACACAUGCCUCAUGCAGACUCUGAUAGAAAAUAACCUGGACUAUGUACUGGCCUCAUUCCAGACUCUGCUAUUAGGCAGGCCUAUCUCCCUCAUUGAUGACAUCACUGGUGGAUCCUCUUGCAAUGGCGGAAAUGGGAAGGCGGCACAAAUUGUGUUCCAGAGCUGCCUGCUAUGGGAGAUAACUGUGGAAAACUCACCAAAAUUGGAGCUUGAAGCUGCACAAGGUUUCCUCUGCUGUAUUUCAGAAGACCCCUACAGUUUAGAUCCAGUGAUAAUUAUAUAUGGCCACCAUGACAGGAAAACAGAGCAUUACUGUUAUUCCCGUCUCCUGGAUUCCCCCAAAACCACUGAGUUCACAGGGAUUAUUCUAUUGCUCCAGCCACAAGGUCUCAUUCCACGAUCGCAUGUAUUGUUAGAGGGGUGGUUAGCAAGUUUUAGCUCAUAUGAUUCCCCCAUCUAUUGUAUGCCUUAGGCAUGUUUGCUCCUGACAGGAAUGAUGUUCACUGGCAUGAAGGCAGAGACAAUUGCAGACGGAGAUAGGGACUGGUGAAAAUUCUGUUUUUGCAGUGUUAAAUGUGUGUUUGUCUUCAGGGGAAUUGAUUCAGGGCCUAAGAUAGGGAGGAUUUCAUUGAUGUAGGUGUCUGCAUGAUGUUAGAGGUCGUGGACAUGAUGAAGUCAAUCAGGAAUAACAUGAGUCUUAUGUGUUGACAUCCUCCCUUGGGGAUGUCCUACAGUAGUCAUGCAUUAUGAUUUUGUAUUUAUUUUCUAGAUUGUGAGCAGUCUUUUUCAUACACAUGGAUAUUCACUUAUCAUGAGAGCUAAGUUUUAAAUAUUUUCACUUGUUACAAUGAAAAAUAAAUGGUAAAUGUCGUGUUGAAUGUACCUAUUA